rnacentral:lncRNA from 1 species
AAGUUUAAUAAUAGAAAGGUGAAUGCAGCGAUCAGGUUGGUUCCACCAGGGUAAUCAUAAUCACCAUUGAUAAUGUUAUCAGUGCUCUGUGUGUGUGUGUGUGUGUGUGUGUGUGACCGACCAGUAUCUUUGAUGAGGGGCCAGGAGCUCAUCUAUGCUGCUGAGGGGCCAGGAGCUCAUCUACUCCGCUAUUCUCCGGCAAAGACAUCACCUACAGCCCCACCUCUUGCCUGCUCACCAAUGGUCAUCGAUGGAACAGAAUUAGAUGGACUGGAGAUGCUUUUUGCCAGAUGGCAGACUCAGUCUGAUGGGGAGACCGUCAUUGGAAACAUAUAUAUGCAGCCAGCACAUGGAGACUUGCAAGAUGAUGGGAUGACUCCAGUCCAGACUGACAGACGGGCUUGAAACUGAUGUCUCUGAAUGGAGAGAGACCUGGCACUCGGCAUUACAAUUUUACAAGACAGAACUUUUACUUGUAUUGUCUUUUUUUAAUGAUUGAAUUGUAUUGUAUCUGGGGAGGGAGAAACCUUGUGUAUUCUGCACCGGGAAAAGGGAACUCCUGGACACCACACCGUAAUGAACACGAGAGAAACAGAGAGCUGGUUUCAAGCGCAGAGCGCAGCAGGUGUUUAAUAAAUAAAUGUUUUGACUGUUUUGACCAAGUUAAUCUGCUCAUGUUGUGUGUGUUCAAUUACUUGUGAUAUUGUGGCAUUUAAAGCAUAUUGAUGAGUUCUGAGGGCCGAUCUGUGAUAUCCAACUAUUUGGUUUAAUAGCCCGGCUACUUUAGGUGUGAAACUCCACCCAACUUGCAAUGUAUUCGAUGCUUAAGCUCUCUAAAGUUUAAUACAUAUAUAUAGAUACACACACAUAUAUAUACAGUUGAAGUCGGAAGUUUGCAUACACCUUAGCCAAAUACAUUUAAACUCAGUUAUUAACAAUACCUGACAUUUAUUCCUAGUAAAAGUUCCCUGUCUUGGGUCAGUUAGGAUCACCACUUUAUUGUAAGAAUGUGAAAUGUCAGAAUAAUAGUAGAGAGAAUGAUUUAUUUCAGCUUUUAUUUCUUUC